GACGCGUCAGCAGCCUCGCUCCAGCGGCUUCCCACAUCCUUGAGUAACCACCACACAAAGGUGCUGGGCAUGAGACCAAGGGUGCGGCGGAGAUCGAAUUAGUAAUACACACUCGGUGACCCUCCCCAGCCAGGUUUCACUGUGCGCUUAUGACCAACACUCAUCCCUUCCUUAGCAUAUGUGGUGUCUUUAAGAGCCAAGUAAAAAGGAACGAGGCAGCGAGAAGCCAGAUUCUGCCGGAGACAGAGCAGAGAGCCAAACCAUCGCCACUUACUGGUGUAUGAACCGCGGCAAGGCUCUCUACAACCUUGCACCUCGACGUGUGGUCUGUGGACCAGAAACAUUGUCAUCACCUGGAAGCUUCUUGGAAAUGGAAAAUCCUAGGCCACCUCCUAGACUGAUGGAAGCCACAUCAGCAUUUUAACAAGACACCCCGGUGAUUCCAUGGUGCAUUCUUACCCACAUUAAAUUUUGACACCCCAUAAAAAUUCACUCUUCUGAAGCAGAAUUCACCUCUCUCUAGUAAAGAACUUCAAUUUUUAUAAUGUGUCAAUGAAUGAAAAUGUAAAACCUAGUAAGAGAAAAUGGAAGGACUUGUUCAUGCAACUGGUAAUUAAACAAAUGGGAAUGAAACUUGGCUAAGGAGAGAGGAUGAAGAGGAUUAAACUCAUAAAAGCAAGUUGGGGGUUCAAAUGAGAUUUCUGGGAAGGCAUCAGUUGAACUCUGCAGUGAAUGGCUGACCUGUUUUCAUUUAAUAGCUGUUUUCAUGGUUACUUCCCUCUCAGGGAUGCCCCGUCCCUAUAGUCACGCACAUAUUAGGUCAGUAUGCUCAGCAAAAAACACCCAAGGACCAAAAAGCUUUGUGGACAUCAGGUUACAAGCUGUAUUCUGCCCCUCCCUGCCCCCCAGCCUCUCACCAUCUUAGAAAGGCAGGACCUGUGUCAUCACUGAAAGCAACGGCAUGUUGAUAUUUCCUUUUUUUUUUUUUUUUGAGACGGAGUCUCGCUCUGUCGCCCAGGCUGGAGUGCAGUGGCGCGAUCUCGGCUCACUGCAAGCUCCGCCUCCCGGGUUCACGCCAUUCUCCUGCCUCAGCCUCUCCGAGUAGCUGGGACUACAGGCGCCCGCCACCGCGCCCGGCUAAUUUUUUGUAUUUUUACUACAGACGGGGUUUCAUCAUGUUAGCCAGGAUGGUCUCGAUCUCCUUACCUCGUGAUCCGCCCGCCUUGGCCUCCCAAAGUGCUGGGAUUACAGGCGUGAGCCACCGCGCUCGGCCGGCAUGUGGAUAUUUCAACCCAACCCAACACUACUGUUGGGCGAAGGCCUCGGGUGUCCAGGGAACAGAAGCCUUUGCAAGCUGGAGGGUGCAGGCCCUGCACGUUCUGCACCACCAAGAGAACAUCGGGGGUUCUCUUGUUCCGUGGUUUUACAAUCUUGUUUUGUAGCCCAGUUCUGGCAAUGCUGCCCGGACCAUUCUCCUCUCAGGACCUUCUUCUACAGUCCGCCCAGAAGCAGAGCCCCACAGGGCGAUAUAGGUGCUUCUGACUUUGGCUUAUGAAAUCAGCCAAUAUUGUCCAAGAUAAACUCUGAUCUAAACAACAACAAAAAAACCUCAAAGUAUAAAAUGUGUGUCUCUACAAGCAACACCACUGUUAGAAUGUCAGGGCUGAGAGACCUCAUUUAUUGGAACAGGCCUUCACCUGUGAUCAAUUACCAACAGGAGGCAG